ACGAAGUACCCCGCCUAAGCAUCAUUUCCUAAAGCGCUUGAAGAGCGGGUGUACAUGUUUGCUGGGCGCCUUGCUCCGCGAUGAGUGGUACUCCAUGUACACAGUGUCGUCGGCCCCAGACAUAGAACUCAUGGUGCCAAAGCGCCGAGAUGCCUGCCGGGAAGGGGGGACCAGCCCAUGUUAGUCUCCAGAAGAAAAGAUACUCCUUUUCCAAAGUGCUGGGAUUAGAGGCGUGAGCCACCAUGCCUGGGGCCAUAUUUUUUUUUAAAUUACUAAUUCAAUUUCUCCUUAUUGAUCUGUUCAGGGUUUCAAUUAAUUUCUGAUUCAAUCUUGGGAAGUUGUAUGUUUCCAGGAAUUUAUCUAUUUCCUCUAGAUUUACUAGUUUGUGUGCACAGAGGUAUUUUUAAGUCUCUGAGGAUCUUUUGUAUUUCUGGGGAUCAGCUGUGACAUCACCUUUGUCAUUUCUGAUUCUGCUUAUUUGGAUCCUCUCUUUUCUGUUAAUCUAACUAGCAGUCCAUCAAUCUUAUUUAUCUUUUUUUUUGAGACGGAGUCUCGCUCUGUCACCCAGGCUGGAGUGCAGAGGUGCGAUCUUGGCUCACUGCAGCCUCUGCCUCCUGGGUUCACGCAAUUCUCCUGCCUCAGCCUCCUGAGUAGCUGGGAUUACAAGCAUGAGCCACCAUAUUCGACUAAUUUUUGUAUUUUUAGUAGAGACGGGGUUUCUCCAUGUUGGUCAGGCUGGUCUUGAACUCCUGACCUUGUGAUCCGCCCACCUCGGCCUCCCAAAGUUCCAGGAUUACAGGCAUGAGCCACUGUGACUGGCCUUAUCUAUCUUUUCAAAGAACCAGCUUUUUAUUUCAUUGAUCCUUUGUAUUGUUUUUGAGUCUGAAUUUCAUUUAGUUCUGCUCUGAUUUUAGUUACUUCUUUUCUUCAGCUAGUUUUGGGAUUAGCUUGUUCUUAUUUUUCUAGUUCCUUCAGAUGAAAUGUCAAAUUGUUAAUUUGAAAUCUGUCUUCUCGAUGUAGGUGUUCGGUGCUAUAAACUUUCCUAACAAUACCUUUGCUGUACCCCAGAGAUUUAGUAUGUUGUAUCUGUUUUCAUUUGUUUCAAAUAAUUUUUGAUUCCUGCCUUAAUUUGUUUAUCCAAAAGUCAUUCAGGAGCAAGUUGUUUAGUUUCUAUGUAAUUGUGUGGGUUUUUUUUUUUCUUUUUUCUUUUAUUUAGCGAUGAGGUCUCGCUAUGUUGCCCAGAAUGGUCUUGAACUCCUGAGUUCAAAUGAUCCUCCCACUUUGGCCUCCCAAAGUGCUGGGGUUACAGGCAUGAGCCACUGUGCCUGGCCAA
rnacentral:lncRNA from 1 species